rnacentral:rRNA from 1 species
UACGUAGGGGGCAAGCGUUGUCCGGAAUCAUUGGGCGUAAAGAGCGUGUAGGCGGCCCGAUAAGUCCGCCGUGAAAGUCCAGGGCUCAACCCUGGAAUGCCGGUGGAUACUGUCGAGCUCGAGUCCGGAAGAGGCGAGUGGAAUUCCUGGUGUAGCGGUGAAAUGCGCAGAUAUCAGGAGGAACACCAAUGGCGAAGGCAGCGCGCUGGGACGUGACUGACGCUGAGACGCGAAAGCGUGGGGAGCAAACAGG